rnacentral:rRNA from 1 species
GACGAACGCUGGCGGCGUGCCUAAUACAUGCAAGUAGAACGAGUUGCGAACGGGUGAGUAACGCGUAGGUAAUUGCCUCAUAGCGGGGGAUAACUAUUGGAACCGAAAGCUAAUACCGCAUACUGUGAGAUGGACCUGCGUUGUAUUAGCUAGUUGGUGAGGUAAAGGCUCACCAAGGCGACGAUACAUAGCCGACCUGAGAGGGUGGACCGGCAAACUGGGACUGGGACAAGGGCCAAGAUCCUAAGGGGAGGAGGAGGUGGGGAACUUCGGAAAUGGGGGGAAGUCUGACCGAGCAACGCCGCGGGGGUGAAAAAGGUUUUCGGGGCGUAAAGCUCUGUUGUGAGGGGAGCGGUAACUAACGAGAAAGGGACGGCUAACUACGUGCCAGCAGCCGCGGUAAUAC